rnacentral:lncRNA from 1 species
GCUGAACUGUCAGAAAGUUAUUGAAAUGCUGUUCAGAAUGCAAAGAAUAAAUGGUUCAAAUGACCCAUCCGUUCACCCCUAAAAGCAGAGUGCUUCCUAAUACAUGGAGAUCUCCUCCAUUAAUGUUCACGGUGUUGCCACAGUAUCCAUCCUGUGCUGGUGCACACCUCCAGGUUAUUGUACAUACCUUAAGUUUGGUGUGCAUGAUAACAUGGCCUGAAAAAUCUUCAUUUCAUUAUAUGGAUCUCUGACAAGAAUUAUAGUAGCCAACAAAGAAACGUAGUCCAUACAGGGUAAAGGAUUCAGGAUUAAUGAUUUGGCUAUAAAAAUGAAAAGAAGGAAGUACUUCCAGGGAGGUAUCUAUAGAGCUGAACAGGCUACAAUCAAGACUGUAAUAAAAGUAAAUUUUGUAAUUUCUUAAAUACUCA